CUACAGUUCCCAUGAGCCUCURCGGCCCCCUUUCCCUCCCGCGGUCACCGGGGCAGCAUGGCGGCGGAGCUUUGUGUGGGCACAACACCGUGUCAAGAAGGGGUAAAAACACUACCCUGGCUGGGAASCUGAUUUAUCUGCUGGACUGACAGUGCACCUGCACAAUAGAGGAAAUGGUCCUGCAGAAUCCUGGGGCUGCUGUUGCCCAAAGGUGGCUUUGGCAUGAGGGCAGCUGCUACUCUGGGCUUUGGGCUGAAGGUCAAUAACAACUUCUGACAGGCUGCCCGGCAGAGCUGGUGACAGGGAGCGUCAUCACCAAUCAAAGCUGCUCUAGAAGCAGCAGAAGGACGAUUGUUCUGGACUGAAUGUCAAAAAAGACCACUGAUUGUCAUUCGAAAUGAUGUGAAAUGGCCACUUKUGUGUAGCCACAGGCUCCUCCUCACUGCUCAGUGGGUGCUGCAGCCACAGCAUGGGAUCUGAUCUGCAGGUGGCUGGAGAAAAGGUGGUUCCCUGCUUUCUUCUGUUCCAGAAUAAAAUAAAUUGUGGAAGAUCUUACUAGUUGAAAUUGGUUUUUAUUUGGUUAUUUUUGUAAAGGUUGGAGUCCAUGCUUUUAAAGGCGUUUUCCAAUAAAGGGAUUUCCAGUUGUAAUGAUUCUGAUUCUUCAAGGAAAGAAAUGGUUUUGUGCAGGUAGGAAGGAUUUUGGAUCAAA